rnacentral:lncRNA from 1 species
GAAGGUGAUCUGGGAAACCAAGGCACCUGUGAAAGCAGCAUGUUUUAGUUGGAUAGCAACUAGGGAGGCUUGUUUAACUCAGCAAUUCGCAGAGGAGAGGUUUCCUAUUGUGUAGCAAAUGCUUUCUUUGAAACAAUGAGGAGGAAACAGUAGAGCAUUUAUUUCUGGAUUGCAGGUACCCAGACAAUGAUGGGAACUAUUCCUUGACAUUAUGGGUGUAUCUAUGGUCUUACCAGAGAAGAUCAAGAGCCUGUUGCAAAGUUGGCAAUCUCAAAGAGUAAGAAGAAAUUCAAAGCAGGUAUGGA